GCAAGUCGAGGGGUAACAGGAUGGAGCUUGCUUCCUUUCUGACGACCGGCGCACGGGUUCCUAACGGGUAUACAAUCUACCUCAUACUGGGGAAUAGCCCGGAGAAAUUCGGAUUAAUGCCCCAUAAUAUAUUUGAUUCGCAUGUUUUAAAUAUUAAAGAUUUAUCGGUAUGAGAUGAGUAUGCUUCCCAUUAGCUAGUUGGUAAGGUAAUGGCUUACCAAGGCUACGAUGGGUAGGGGGCCUGAGAGGGUAGUC
rnacentral:rRNA from 1 species